rnacentral:tRNA from 1 species
AGAGACAGGCACUCAGUGGUAGAGUGCCUGCUUAGCAUGCAUGAGGUCCUAGGUUCAAUCCCCAGUACCUCCA